rnacentral:misc_RNA from 1 species
GAUGAAGAACGUAGCAAAAUGCGAUAAGUAAUUUGAAUUGCAGAAUUCAGUGAAUCAUCGAAUCUUUGAACGCACAUUGCGCCCGCCAGUAUUCUGGCGGGCAUGCCUGUUCGAGCGUCAUUUCAACCCUCAAGCACAGCUUGGUGUUGGGACUCGCGUUAAUUCGCGUUCCCCAAAUUGAUUGGCGGUCACGUCGAGCUUCCAUAGCGUAGUAGUAAAACCCUCGUUACUGGUAAUCGUCGCGGCCACGCCGUUAAACCCCAACUUCUGAAUGUUGACCUCGGAUCAGGUAGGAAUACCCGCUGAACUUAAGCAUAUCAAUAAGCGGAGGA